rnacentral:rRNA from 1 species
UACGAAGGGGGCUAGCGUUGCUCGGAAUCACUGGGCGUAAAGGGCGCGUAGGCGGCUCAUGAAGGCUGUGGUGAAAGUCCGGGGCUCAACCUCGGAUCGGCCGUGGCGACUCGUGGGCUGGAGCACUGUAGAGGCGGGUGGAAUUCCGGGUGUAGCGGUGGAAUGCGUAGAGAUCCGGAAGAACACCAGUGGCGAAGGCGGCCCGCUGGGCAGUGGCUGACGCUGAGGCGGCGACAGGCGUGGGGAGCAAACAGG